CGUGCUGAGUCAUAAUAACUGCUCGAAUCGCACGGCUCUACGCCGGCGAUGGUUCAUUCAAAUUUCUUCCCUAUCAACUUUCGAUGUUUGGGUAGUGGCCAAACAUGGUUGCAACGGGUAACGGAGGGUUAGGGCUCGACCCCGGAGAAGGAGCCUGAGAAACGGCUACUACAUCCAAGGAAGGCAGCAGGCGCGCAAAUUACCC
rnacentral:rRNA from 18 species